rnacentral:misc_RNA from 1 species
GAUGAAGAACGCAGCGAAAUGCGAUAAGUAAUGUGAAUUGCAGAAUUCAGUGAAUCAUCGAAUCUUUGAACGCACAUUGCGCCCGCCAGUAUUCUGGCGGGCAUGCCUGUUCGAGCGUCAUUUCAACCAUCAAGCCCCAGGCUUGUGUUGGGGACCUGCGGCUGCCGCAGGCCCUGAAAACCAGUGGCGGGCUCGCUGUCACACCGGGCGUAGUAGAUUUUAUCUCGCUCAGGGCGUGCUGCGGGUUCCGGCCGUUAAAAAGCCUUUUUUACCCAAGGUUGACCUCGGAUCAGGUAGGAAGACCCGCUGGACUUAAGCAUAUCAAUAAGCGGAGGA